rnacentral:tRNA from 1 species
GGAGAGGUGCGAGAGCGGUCGAAUCGGCGCGAUUGGAAAUCGCGUGCUCGUUUACGCGGGCCGUGGGUUCGAAUCCCACCCUCUCCG